GCAGUGGUAGCUCAGCGGUUAAGACGUUUGAUUACUGAUCAGAAGGUUGUGAGUUCACAUCUCAGCACUGCU